rnacentral:misc_RNA from 1 species
CCAGGCACGAAAACCACCGGAUGCUUGGCGGUUAGCCCUUCUUUUUUUAAUUUCACACCAGGCGGAUCCGGCAUUGGCCCCGUGAUUGCCUCCGUCACGUACUGAGGGAAAGACGCAGGCAUUGCGUUGUACAAGAAAAGCAAAAACCACCACAUCGAGCAUAUAAAACCAAUGAACCAACAACAGCUGUCGGCGCAAGUCCAUUUCUUUAUCCUCCUCUCUCCUCCGUCUUGCUUUCCGGUUAAGUUUCUCCUUCCCUUUAUCCUUCUUGUUCUCGUCUGCGUCUUUUUCUUUCUCAGCCUCUGAGAAAUCUGAAGAAUUCCGAACUUUUGACCUCCGUCUCAAAAUCGACAUCGUAUUGAAUAAACAAGAGAAUCUAUAUCUAUUAUGUUCCAGUUCAUGAAUAGAAACUGAGGCUGAGCUGUUUUGGCUUGGAGCAGAGUGAACAGUCCAACCCUAACCCUAAUUUCGACCCACACAUGUAUACAAUUACGAAAUCCACCGUUUGGAACCACGAACAACGGAUACCGG